GGUUAUUGCACUCAAGGUGAGUAACUGUGUAUCUUUUAAAAUUGAAUUAUUAUCCUUUUAAAAAAUUAAUCAUCCUCACUUGUGCACCAACCUAGACAGAGUACUGACCUCCUCUAAGCGGUUGUGAAGGUUAUUCAAAGCAGUGGUGACAUUUUCCAGUUGUUUUUCGAAAGCAUUCAUUUUUGAACCAACAGGAUUCUGGAGCUGCUGAAAGAGAAACGCCACAAAGGCAUUACCCCAGGCAAAAGCAGUGAGAUCAUUAGUGGGAUUGCAGGAGCUGACUACUAUAACAUACUGGAUACCUGUCCCUGCUGGGACUCAGAUGGCACGCCCCGACGUCUAAUCAUUUCCUGCACAAAAUCAACUGCAAAAAACACAAGAACAAAAGAAACAAGAAAGAAAACACUAACCAACACAAAAUUGAACACAAAAUAUGUGUCUGAUAUCCUAAUACCCUAAGGCCAGAUGUGGACAGUACAUGGGGGAUUUUAAGCCUUCCAGGUAUGGCAGAGACUUGAAAUGACAGAAGUUUGGAUCUGCGAAUGAUUACAUGAAGCAGUGUUUUCCCUCAACCUCCACUGGAUGUGAUGCAAACAAAAAAGAAGCUUUUGGAGCAUGGUGAUAAUCCAUUGACAUCUAUUAUUGAUUCUAAUAACUG